rnacentral:tRNA from 1 species
GGGCCGGUAGAUCAGCCCGGUUGUGACUUCGAUUUCCGCAGUCACAGGGUCAGAUCGCCUCCUUGGCACUUUUCACGCUCUGGCGUGAUUCCCAAAGUGGAGGAGGUCGCGAGUUCAAAUCUCGCCCGGUCCA